UACGAGGGGGGCAAAUGUUGUUCGGAAUCACUGGGCGUAAAGGGAGCGUAGGCGGGUUCUUAAGUAAGGUGUUUAAUCCCGGGGCCCAACCCCGGACCGGCACUUUAAACUGGGAAUCUUGAAUAGUGGAGAGGUCGGUGGAAUUGGGGGCGUAGCGGUGGAAUGCGUAGAGAUCCCCAAGAACACCAGUUGCGAAGGCGGCCGACUGGACACAUAUUGACGCUGAGGCUCGAAAGCAUGGGGAGCAAACAGG
rnacentral:rRNA from 1 species